rnacentral:lncRNA from 1 species
UGAUGUUGUAGGACAAUUCAAAGACUAAUGUCGAGCUAACUAGCUUCAAAUGUGAAAUGUGAUGGUAGCAUUGAUGGGUGAUGCAUAGUUUAUGAAGGAGGCAUUGAAACAUGGGAGCAAGCUGGGUUCUAUUCAUCGAGUGUAUUCAAACUAUUGGGACCUUUGACUCUGCUUGUGCUUGCUUUCUUCUGAGAUCGAUAGUGGCCAUCAGUUGGGAUGCAAAAUCGAAGGGAAGAAAGGUGUGAG